AUUGAACGCUGGCGGCAGGCCUAACACAUGCAAGUCGAGCGGAGCGGCGGACGGGUGAGUAAUGCCUAGGAAUCUGCCUGGUAGUGGGGGAUAACGUCCGGCAACGGGCGCUAAUACCGCAUACUAUCCAACGGGCCUAGGUGGGAUGAGCUAGUUGGUGGGGUAAAGGCCCACCAAGGCGACGAUCCCUCACUGGUCUGAGAGGAUGAUCAGUCACACUGGAACUGAGACACGGUCCAGAAUCCUACGGGAGGCAGCAGUGGGGAAUAUUGCACAAUGGGCGAAAGCCUGAUCCAGCCAUGCCGCGUGUGUGAAGAAGGUCUUCGGAUUGUAAAGCACUUUCAGCUGGGAGGCGUUACCCACAGAAUAAGCACCGGCUAACUCCGUGCCAGCAGCCGCGGUAAUUC
rnacentral:rRNA from 1 species